UACGGAGGGUCCAAGCGUUAUCCGGAUUUAUUGGGUUUAAAGGGUCCGCAGGCGGGAAAAUAAGUCAGUGGUGAAAUCCUAUCGCUUAACGAUAGAACUGCCAUUGAUACUGUUUUUCUUGAGUGUAAUUGAAGUGGGCGGAAUGUGUCAUGUAGCGGUGAAAUGCAUAGAUAUGACACAGAACACCGAUUGCGAAGGCAGCUCACUAAAUUAUUACUGACGCUCAGGGACGAAAGCGUGGGGAGCAAAC
rnacentral:rRNA from 1 species